UAAGUUAUCGGGGCCUCUACGAGCAAUG
rnacentral:sRNA from 1 species